rnacentral:rRNA from 1 species
CAGCCGCCGCGGGAAUACGUAGGUGGCAAGCGUUGUCCGGAAUUAUUGGGCGUAAAGCGCGCGCAGGUGGUUUAAUAAGUCUGAUGUGAAAGCCCACGGCUCAACCGUGGAGGGUCAUUGGAAACUGUUAAACUUGAGUGCAGGAGAGAAAAGUGGAAUUCCUAGUGUAGCGGUGAAAUGCGUAGAGAUUAGGAGGAACACCAGUGGCGAAGGCGGCUUUUUGGCCUGUAACUGACACUGAGGCGCGAAAGCGUGGGGAGCAAACAGGAUUAGAUACCCCGGUAGUCCCUGUCUCUUAUAC